GGUUUGUGGCUCAGUGGUACAGCACUUGUCUAGUAUGUGUGAGGCACUGGGUUUGAUUCUCAGCACCA
rnacentral:tRNA from 1 species